GCUUAACACAUGCAAGUCGAACGGGAUCCAAUGAAGCUUGCUUUGUUGGUGAGAGUGGCGAACGGGUGAGUAACGCGUGAUUAACCUGCCGUGUAGUGGGGAAUAGCUCCUGGAAACGGGUGGUAAUGCCCUAUGUUCCGCAUUGUCGCAUGAUGGUGUGGGAAAGCUUUAUGUGCUAUACGAUGGGAUCGCGUCCUAUCAGCUUGUUGGUGGGGUAGUGGCCUACCAAGGCUUCGACGGGUAGCCGGCCUGAGAGGGCGACCGGCCACAUUGGGACUGAGAUACGGCCCAGACUCCUACGGGAGGCAGCAGUGGGGAAUAUUGCACAAUGGGGGAAACCCUGAUGCAGCGACGCCGCGUGCGGGAUGACGGCCUUCGGGUUGUAAACCGCUUUUAAUUGGGAGCAAGCGCAAGUGAGUCUACCUUUUGAAUAAGCACCGGCUAACUACGUGCCAGCAGCCGCGGUAAUACGUAGGGUGCAAGCGUUGUCCGGAAUUAUUGGGCGUAAAGAGCUCGUAGGCGGUUUGUCGCGUCUGGUGUGAAAGUCCAUCGCUUAACGGUGGAUCUGCGCUGGGUACGGGCAGGCUAGAGUGUAGUAGGGGAGACUGGAAUUCCCGGUGUAACGGUGGAAUGUGUAGAUAUCGGGAAGAACACCAAUGGCGAAGGCAGGUCUCUGGGCUAUUA
rnacentral:rRNA from 1 species